CCGUGCGCCCGCCGGCUGAGCUUCCCCAUUUGCCCAUAUCACGGCUCACCGCAGCUCCUGUCCCAUCUGGUUGCCGUGACCUCGAUUAUGGUGUCUACCCCGGCUAGGGUUUCAGCGUCGGCGUGUCAGUUGCUGCAAGUGGAGGCGGCAAGCUAGAGGCAGCAACUGCAUAAUUUGCAAGAGAAUCGUUUUCAGGCCAUACCGAUGAUUUUCUUGCAAGUUGUGCAGUUGUUGUCUCAAGCUUGCUGCCUCCCUUUGCCAGAACUAUUGAAUUUGAAACUACAGUCAAAAUAGUGCCACAUCCAGGUUUGCAAAAAGUAUUGAAAUAGACAUGACAAACAUGGUUGUGCUAUCAGUAAGUUACUAGAUUAUACGCUGUUAAGUUGAAAAUACUGAAUCACAUGGUGUUGCAUGCAACUCCUUUCAUGGAGUGACUUAUACAAUAAAUGCUAAGCAAGGACAAAGGAACUCAAAGAACAAAAACAACGCAAAUGGGAAACCUUGUCUCUUUUUUCAUUUGGUACUUCAAGUCCAGUAAGUUUGUGCCAAGAUUGUCUAAGCUCUUGACCGCGUGAUGAUUGUCUUCCAUGAUGUCACUCCUAAUUCAAACAAAUAUUCUCCCUAAGUCCUAGAACCAAUUAUACCUGUUAUGUUAGCAUGUGAAUUCCUGAAGAGAUACAUGAGCAGGUCAUGAAAUUGGUAAAUGAUCUCGCUGGUAGAACAUUUCCCUUGGCAAUAGAAUGUUGCAGUUUGUCUUAUCUUCAAGCAGAAUUGUCAGCGAGUCAUCUCAAAAGUUUCAGUGUGAACUGUAAAUGGUUUAUGCAUUGUAGAUAGUUUCAGAGGAUGGGUGCAGGUAAAUGCUUCAUAGUUCCUCUGUUCCUUCCAAAAUGUUCUGAUGUUAUGUUCUUUCUUUUUCAUGUUACGUGGUUCAGUUGAAGGUUAGGAAUUGGACAAAAGAUGUUAUCUGAUGUUCUGCUAGGCUGCAGAAACGUUAUACUUGUCUGUUUGCUGUUCCUUCUUGGUUCAACGUCUGCAGUGUUUACAACCUCUAAUCCUCGAGGUUGUUGUGUAACUGGAGAAAUUAGUGGAAAUACAUGUCUCGUUUAUUAAUGCUGUUUUGGCUUCGCCUAAUGUUUAGUUUGUAGUUGGUUUGAUGAGCCAUUUGAAUGUAAAACAGAAGGAGCUGUGUUAACUGAUCUUAGGUUGAGUUCAAAUCACAUUAUCUCUGUGUUCAAUAUGUUGCAGGUUGAAAAACCUUCGGCUCAGCUUGACAUACACAAACUGUUCUAAUGAGGAGCGCCACUCCAAGGGUAGCAUCUAUGCAAUACUUAUGGGCACUUUAUUGGAUAAACACGGCAAUUAACUCAUUAUGUGGACUUGCGCAAUAUCCAUGCCAUUCAGCACAGAUUGAUUAAGAUGGGUGAUUUCAGAUCAAAGUCUCAUCCAGUUGUGCCUUUCUGCUCUCUGUCGAACGGUUUGUCACCUUCAUCCAAUUAUAACUAGAUUGGAGAAGAUAAAUUGAUGAUAAAAAAAUGACUUGACUGCAGUAGUAAUCUUUCUACAGCUGAAUUGCAGUAUUUUAUUUUGAGGUGAACAGUUCAGAGCUGGUCCUGGAGGGUGCCACCACAAGGUUACUUGUCCGCGUCCAAAGUUCAUAUGAGCCGGACCAAAGAAGCCACUAGUUAGGCUGAUAUUGCCGGCAAGGUGGGCUGCCUGGUUUCCUGGGUUUGUGGGUGUGAAGCUGCCGGAUGUAGUUGAAUGAGUUGAUGGCGGUGGCUACAGGCAUCGUUUUCUUUGUUGAAGUUUUCGAUGAAGCAGCCCUCAUCUUCCGAUCCGGUCUUACAGAUCGGAUGAUGAUGGCGCUUAGCGAUGCUUGGUGGCAUGUUCCCUCGGAGGGACCCGUUGCUAGUGCGGUGGUGGAGGAAUCAACACUCCACAUGCAGGGAGCCUUAGAUGAGCCAUUUUGGUCUUUUCUCAAAGGUCCUAGGCAUGUCGCCCCUCUCUAGCGCUGUCAAGGCUGACGAAAAUGCUCAUGGCAGAUCACGACGAUGCGAUGGUUUUCAGUGUGUACUUUUUUAGCAGUGUGACUUGAUUGUCUGGCUGUGCG